rnacentral:rRNA from 1 species
GAUGAACGCUGGCGGCGUGCCUAAUACAUGCAAGUCGAGCGAACAGAUGAGGAGCUUGCUCCUCUGACGUUAGCGGCGGACGGGUGAGUAACACGUGGAUAACCUACCUAUAAGACUGGGAUAACUUCGGGAAACCGGAGCUAAUACCGGAUAAUAUAUUGAACCGCAUGCUUCAAUCGUGAAAUACGGUUUUGCUGUCACUUAUAGAUGGAUCCGCGCCGCAUUAGCUAGUUGGUAAGGUAACGGCUUACCAAGGCAACGAUGCGUAGCCGACCUGAGAGGGUGAUCGGCCACACUGGAACUGAGACACGGUCCAGACUCCUACGGGAGGCAGCAGUAGGGAAUCUUCCGCAAUGGGCGAAAGCCUGACGGAGCAACGCCGCGUGAGUGAUGAAGGUCUUCGGAUCGUAAAACUCUGUUAUUAGGGAAGAACAAAUGUGUAAGUAACUAUGCACGUCUUGACGGUACCUAAUCAGAAGGCCACGGCUAACUACGUG